rnacentral:tRNA from 3 species
GGUGGAGUUCCCGAGUGGUUAAAGGGACUAGACUGUAAAUCUGGCGGCUAUGCCUUCGUAGGUUCGAAUCCUACCUCCACCACCA